GGCACUUUGGCCGAGUGGUCUAAGGCGCCGUGUUCAGGUACUCAGCUCUUCGCAGUUGACCCUCUUCGCGGUCUAGUAAUAGGCGAGGGUUCGAAUCCCUCAGGUGUCA